CUCAAAACUUCAGCUCUCUAUUUCACUAGAUGAGUUUUCGGCUCGCUUACUCCGGCUGAGUUCUAGGAUCUUCUUAUUUUUUGUCGGUUAUCCUCAACCUUUAACUUCUGACGAUAUCUAUCUUUGCUGUAUAUCUUGGUGUUUUGGCGAUAGCGUACCUCAAAUCGAUUGAAGUUACUAGGAGAGCUUUCACAUCCGACAAAGAGAUUUAAGAUGCUUGGUCUCAGAGGCGUUCAUGGAGCGAAGCAUAAAACGAGUUAGGGGAAGAUUCUCUUUGAAUGAGAUAAGGCACCAAUCGUGGGUAUGAAUCAACACUGAAGAACAUCAGAACGAUGAAGCAAUCCAGCAACGGAGCGGCGGAAGAGGAGUUUUUUCUGUUUGCAAGCCGCAUGUUUAAUGUGUGUCCUACGAGUGCUUUAUAGUCAAACACAUGCAAUAGAGACGUGUAGGUUUAUACUCGUAAUGGGCUUAAAACUGUAAAAUUAUAUAAAUAUAAAUUGUCUUUGGGCCUGAA